rnacentral:lncRNA from 1 species
UCUGUAUCAAAUUCAACCUAUUCCAAAUAGAGGAAAAGAUCACCCUCAGACUUGGUAGUAGUAGUGGUGGGAGCAUUAGAGUUAGUUUUGGAGGGCUCAUGGUAAAACACUGAUGUUGUAGUCUGGGGUUGUACACAGAACAAUUCAGAUCAGGACAUGGAGUUUAUAAUAUUUUUAUAAUGGUUACCGGAAGUUAACACAGGAGAAUGCAGGAAAUCUAUCUGCAACACCAACGAUAUAGAUUAUUUAGUCAAGAGUCUAAACCCCAUGGCAAUGUCCCAAAUGAAUCCAGAUAAAAACCCAGAGCUCAGAACAACGCCUCCAGGAGUCCAACUGGAAGUCCAGAGCCCACAAGAAGGACUCACGCCAGUCUCUUACAGAUUCGUGCCGGGAAGACCCAACGAUCAACGGUGGAAGCCAAAGUCUAUGCCAGCAGGAUGAAGGAGCUGUCCUAGUGGGAUGAGGGUUCUACACUGGAGCCGAGAAGUCACACAACAAAGAAUGGGGCUGUCCUGAAAGGAACCACAGCUGUCCUCAGUGACGCGGAGGCCCCGAGCUCCUCUGACGACAAGCACAGUCGGGUAUGUGCCAGGAAGCAGCCUGAGGAGUUCAUCCUGGAGACCAGGCAGCACAUGUCUUCCCUUCCGGAGCCAGGAAGCAAUGCUCGAUGUGAAGACCAAAGCUUCUCCAGGAGAACCAACAGCUCAGACAGUAACUCGUAGGAGAACCAACAAUGUCUCCAUAACGCCUCAAUCCCUCUCCACACCUCUCUUCUUCUCCACCUAUUUAUCCUGGCAACCCUCCUCAGGAAGAGUGGAUUUGUGUCACUUAAGCCAAACUGAAGAAGUACAGCCAGCCCCACGGAGCAAGAGAUGGAGGAACUUGGUUGAAAGAUACUGUGGUUCCUUGUACAAUCUUAUCUUCCUACUGUGACCUUUAAGUCAUGGGACCAGUAGGUAGGAAAAAAUGCCUUAAAUCUUGACUUCUGAC